rnacentral:rRNA from 1 species
GAUGAACGCUGGCGGCGUGCCUAAUACAUGCAAGUAGAACGCUGAAGGAGGAGCUUGCUCUUUCCGGAUGAGUUGCGAACGGGUGAGUAACGCGUAGGUAACCUGCCUGGUAGCGGGGGAUAACUAUUGGAAACGAUAGCUAAUACCGCAUAACAGUAGAUAUUGCAUGAUAUUUGCUUGAAAGGGGCAAUUGCUCCACUACCAGAUGGACCUGCGUUGUAUUAGCUAGUUGGUGAGGUGACGGCUCACCAAGGCGACGAUACAUAGCCGACCUGAGAGGGUGAUCGGCCACACUGGGACUGAGACACGGCCCAGACUCCUACGGGAGGCAGCAGUAGGGAAUCUUCGGCAAUAGACGGAAGUCUGACCGAGCAACGCCGCGUGAGUGAAGAAGGUUUUCGGAUCGUAAAGCUCUGUUGUAAGAGAAGAACGAGUGUGAGAGUGGAAAGUUCACACUGUGACGGUAUCUUACCAGAAAGGGACGGCUAACUACGUG